GAAAUCGCCUCUAGAGGCUGCUGGGUUCGAAGAUGAUAAAGUAAAACCCUAGAAAGGGGUUUUUAAACGCAAAAACGUACUGUCGGAUCUGCACAGAGGCGGCGGCGCCGUGACACGGCGGCGCCGUGUGCCCCCUUCGCAGUUUGGGCACGGCGGCCGCCGUCACACGGCGCCCGCCGUCCACUGCAAUGCGCAGCGGUUUUGUUUUGGCCCGUUCUCCCUCGUUUCAAGUCGGAUUUUGGAUCCGUUUUCGCCUACGAACUCGUAUCGAGACGAACUUCGAUUCUUCUUCAAACCAAUCAACUAAAUUCUGACUUUAUUUUUGUCCACAUAUCAAUCAAUUUGAGCACAAAAUCCUGAGACAACAAAAUUAGCACAAAAGCUCAAAUCAUUCAACUCUUAAGUGAAAGAGACCAAAAUAAAAGUCAAUAUAAGACGUAAACACCCACAAAUUCAUCACAAAAUAGGGCUAAACAACCCCCCCACACUUAAAUCCUUGCUUGUCCUCAAGCAACAAUCACAACAUCGAAAGAAAAUCCACAAGCGAUUCUUCUCACCAAGCAAAACACCAACCAAUCCAAGUCUUUCAAGAUAUCAAUGUCCCCAAUCAAGUGUUCAAAGUUAAGGUUUAAGAUGCAACAACAAGAUGAUACCACUCGAUCCGAUCAGACCCAAUUCUCCGCUAGGGGUGAAUUUCCUAAUGCAAUUUCCUUUAUAAUCAUAUCUCCAUCCUUUUUCACAUUCUUUCAUCUUUUCACAUUUCACUCUCUUUUCUGGGGUCAAGUUAUUUUUGCUCUUAAUAGAUAGGCCAUAUUUCACGAGAUUGACAUUUUUGGAGGUGGUCCAAAACAUUCUCGUGUGGUUUCCCAUGCUCAUAACGAUACUAUUAGAGGAGCAGAGACCCAGAGCUAUCAAGUACUCAACAACCAACCAAACAUUUCAACACAGAGAAAGAUAUUAGGAAAUUGCAAUAAAAACACUCCCCCUAGCAUCUACCGGACAAAUCACGUCAAGAGUUGCUCAUCAGGGUGUUGCAUCCAAACAUUAAACUAAUUACACCACACUGGGAACAUAUCUAUCACAAGAGACAAGGACAACAAUCAACACAAAUCACAAACCAGAAUCGCUAGUGAACCACCAUCAACAUGCGAUGUGUACUUUAAAACAAACAUGAAAUCAAGACAAGGGGACCAUUCGCCCCACACAAGAAAGCCCAAGAACACAACAAAAAGACACCCACAGGAUUCACAACUACCAACAAACACCCCCCCCCCACACUUAAAAUACUGGCACUGUCCUCAGUGCAAACAAAAAGAGAGGUGAAAGAGGAAACUUCCCUAAAUAUCGAUCCAGUGGUGAGUCUGUAGUGUCCCACGAUGUCUGCCUCUCUCUCAUCCAUAGAACAAGCAGUCUCCAACGCAACAACCUGCACCAAACAGCAGAAGCAACAAAACACAACACAAACAAAACGAAAGAAAAACGAAACAAGAAAAAGCAAGAAAACAUGGGUUGCCUCCCAUGCAGCGCUAGUUUUUAAGUCGCCAGCCCGACUAAGAGAACCCCUUAACCAAAAUCCGAUUGAAGCUCCAG
rnacentral:lncRNA from 1 species